CUCCUCUCCACCGGCAGAGUCUCACACCUGCGGCUCAUCCAAUAAUCACCACCUGCAGUCAAAUACCCUGGUUCAGCUCCCACGGCCCGAGACGCUGCCUGCCUGCCUGCCUGCCUGCCAAGCCACGCUGCCCCAUACAGAACUAAGAACGCCAUUACCUAGCCCCACUCUGCCUGGAAAACCUUGCUCUCCCAAAUCAUUCAUUCCCUCUCCUGCACUGUGUUUAAUAAACCAGAUCGUGUGUUUUA